rnacentral:ncRNA from 1 species
CUAUGGCUUAUAAGAAGUCAUGGCGAAAGGAG